CUUCUGGAUAGGUGACCACAUCAAGGUGCUAGGAGGGAGCAUCACACCCCCUCCCCCAUCGACCAAGACUUGCCCAUGAAUCUCUUCUGCAUGUCUGUUCCUGAGUUGUAUCCUUUGUAGUAAUCCAGUCAAUUUAAGAGAAGUGUUUUCCUGAGCUCUGUGAGUCAUUCUAGCAAACUAUUGAACAGGAGGAGGGUUUCAUAGUAACUCUGGAUUUAUAGCCAGUCUUUCAGAUGUAUGGGAGGUUCAAACGUGCAACGGCAUCAGAAAUGAGGACAGUCUUGCGGGACUGAGCCCUUUUACUUAUGGGAUCUGAUGCUAAUGCCAGGUAGUUAGCGUUAAAAUUCAAUUAAACUGUCGGACAUCCAGCAAGGGCCCAGGAAGCUGGAGAAUCACUUGGUGUGUUAAAAAAAAAAAAAAACAAAAAAAAAAAACAAAAAAAAAAAACACAUUUGCUAUCGGAAGCGGCGUACUGAGAGUGGCAGGAGGCAGCCAAAUGCUUAGGCAGAUAGGGGCAGGUCCCUAGUGAAACCCCACCUCCAACUGAAUACCAACCCGUAAAGCCUGAAAGCUAAGCUACACGUUAAAUCCUCAGACAGAAUUGAGAACUUGUCUUCCUGUUUGGCGUGCUUUCCUCUGAUUGGUCCCCACCCUUCACCUGUGGUAUAUGUACCUAGCUUUCCCAAUUGGCUUUUCUACACUGUUUGCCAUGCCCACCUUUGAUGGUGUCUUUGCUUUAACCUUGUGUUCAUACUCACAAACCAGUCAGCAUGCACUUUACAUUCUAGAGUCCAUAAAAGGCCAGGACCCAGACGCACGGGGGUCUUUCACACCUUCAGCACAGAGAUCUGUCUGGCCACUCUUAGCAGUCUGCUCCAGCUCUGAAAUUCACUUUACUAUGAGGACAGCUUUAUCCCACAAAGCGCAGGGUUCAGAAUUUGUCUUAAGUGUACACCUCUGUGUGUUUAUGUACAUGAUAAAAUGUGUGCUUCUUCAGAGAUCAGCUUUUGGGAAUCUACAAGAUUCAGGAUCAGUUCAGAAGUUGGAAUUAGUUGGAAAGAGCAAAAGACGAUCUUUGGCAGAUAACACUUGAGCACAAUACUGCCAAGCAUCGAAGAACUGAUAACUACACUUGAUGGACAGCUUUUGCUCAGGUCACUGUGCAGAAGAAGCAAAGUGUAUAAAUUCACUGGUUAGGAUUCUCACCGAAGAGCUACCUGUUGAUGGCCAAUAAAACAGAGAACAAAACAGAAAACA
rnacentral:lncRNA from 13 species